CUGACCUCAGGCAGUCCGCCCGCCUCAGCCUUCCAAAGUUCUGGGAUUAUAGACGUGAACCACUGAGCCUGGCCGCUGCUUUUUUUUUUUUUUUUCCUGAGACCGGGUCGGUCUCUUCCCCAUGCUCGAGGGCAGUGGUGUGAUCAUAACUCAGUGCAGCCUUAAACUCCUGGGCUUAAGGGAUCCUCCCACCUCUGCCUACCAGGUAGCAGAAGCUAUAGGCAUGUCCCCCCCUGCCCAGCUAAUUUUUUUAUUUUUUAUUUUUUGUAGAGGCAAGGUCUUGCUAUGUUGUCCAGACUGGACUCACCUGGGCUCAAGUGAUCCUCCCAAAGUGCUGGAAUUGCAGGCGUGAACCACUGCCUAGCCAAGCCUGCAUUUUCUUGAGUUCAUAAUGUCAUUUGUCCACAAAGGUGGCUUCAGAGAGGUGGUCACAUGCUUCCCUUUGCUUCCCAAUGGCACUGACCUUGAUUCAGCCCUCACAUGAGACCUGAGGGUCUGCAUAGAUGCCCUGUGCCACCCUGGCUGGCGAGGCUCCUGUCUGCCCCUGGCUUUCAGUGUCUGUGCCUCUCCAGAAUCUUGCCUUGCCCUCCCAUGUACUUUUGUUCUUAGAAAAGCCCCAGCACAUUAGCCGGUCGUGGUAGUGGGCGCCUCCCAGCUACUUGGGAGGCUGAGGCAGGAGAAUCACUUGAACCUGGGAGGCAGAGGUUACAGUGAUCCGAGAUUGCGCCACUGCACUCCAGCCUGGGUGACAUAGCGAGACUGGCUCAAAGAAAAGAAAAAGCCCCAGCAGGUAGCAAAAGCAUUUCUUGGUGAGUGUCAGGGGUGGUGAUUCCCACCCUCAACCUGUCAUGGUCUCAGGGAAUAGCCUACUUCUCACUGGCAGCUUGAUACCCACAGUGCGCCCUGGCUGCUGGGGCCCAUCUCUCCAGGGGAAUCCUGUCCACCCAACCCCAGGAGCCUCAGUGUGCAGUCAGUGUCAGCACAGCGCUCCCAGGUGAGGGCUGGGCUGCCUCCCCUUAAGCAGCUGUGCUGGAGGUACUAUCCAGACCGCCUGCAGGGCCCUGGGGAUGUGCAUUUCUAACAGGCUCCGGCCCCCAAUACUGCUCUGGUGGAAAACCCAGCCUGGGAGUCCCUGGAAUGUCAGGUCCUGUCCUAGGUCCAGGUGGAGCCAUGUCCAGGAGUUGCGCUCAUUUUUCUUGUUUGAAAAACUUCCCCCAGAAGGAAGUGGUCUUUUCACUACCCUUACCAGAAACAUGCUAAGCACCACUGGGCUCUGUUUCUGUCCCCUAGAAAAUGAGGAUAAAAUUUCUCUUGCUGUCACGUGGCUCCGAAGGCAGUUUAUUUCUCACUAGAACCUGGACCCAAGCACAGAGCAGCUAUCAACACGCAGAGUUGAAAUCCACGGAAGGAGAAGACUCAGGGCCCCAGAGCCUUGCUGUGGCCCUGCUGCCCUCCAGAGACCUUCUGCCCCCUCCAUGACCAGAGGGUCUGUGGGCACAUGUCUCUUCCCCUUCCCGUGACAUUGACUCGAUGGCCUUCUGAAAGCAAGAGGCCAGGGCCAUGGCACCCCUGCAGUUUGGGGGGCAGAGGGGCCCAGGCAGCUUCAGUCUCCAAAUCUGUCUUCCCAAGGUGCAAAGGUGGUUUGCCUUGUGGCUCUGGCCUUUGGCCAUUCUCUGUCCUCACUCACAGGGGCUUUGGCCCUCUAGUCGCCCUUUCAGCCCCUGAGUAGUUGGAAGAGAGGUUGGUGUCAGAAAAGAAGUAGAUGAACCAAAUGGCCAGGAAGAGGAAUAGCUGCUCAGAGUGUUCCAUCUCCCUGCAGCUGGGCUGCCAGGCCCCGGGGCACCUGGGGUGUGGGGCUUAGUAGCUUCCCCCAGCCCCACACCUGCCCUGCCUCCCCCAUAGCUCUCCAGCUUGAGGCCUCCCAGCAACUGGGCACUUUUCCAUUCCCCAGGAGAUGGGCCCUCAGCCGCCUUGGUUGCUGGAAGUAGGUCUGGAGACAAAGAGCCCUGCCCUGGAGGAAGCCGCUUUGCCUGCCUGGCCUCCUGCCUGUGAGAGGUGCCUGAAAUUGCUCUGUCUGUGCCAAGUGGGUGACAGGAUCUCCAGAGUGGCACAGGACUGAGGUGAGGACAAAGGAGGAAGCCUUGGGAUGGUCAACUGUAUUCCAUCAGGAUUUUCACCAAUAACAGGAUAAUGCUACCCUUAACCCAGUUAUCAUAUGACCACACAAACAUGUUGACGUUUUCCCUUACAAUAUUUUUCUGUAAAGAAAAAAUAUUUAUAGGUAUA